rnacentral:rRNA from 1 species
GGCGAGCGAACGGGGAGGAGCCCAGAGCCUGAAUCAGUGUGUGUGUUAGUGGAAGCGUCUGGAAAGGCGUGCGAUACAGGGUGACAGCCCCGUACACAAAAAUGCACAUAUUGUGAGCUCGAUGAGUAGGGCGGGACACGUGGUAUCCUGUCUGAAUAUGGGGGGACCAUCCUCCAAGGCUAAAUACUCCUGACUGACCGAUAGUGAACCAGUACCGUGAGGGAAAGGCGAAAAGAACCCCGGCGAGGGGAGUGAAAAAGAACCUGAAACCGUGUACGUACAAGCAGUGGGAGCCUCUUAAUGGGGUGACUGCGUACCUUUUGUAUAAUGGGUCAGCGACUUAUAUUCUGUAGCAAGGUUAACCGAAUAGGGGAGCCGAAGGGAAACCGAGUCUUAACUGGGCGUUAAGUUGCAGGGUAUAGACCCGAAACCCGGUGAUCUAGCCAUGGGCAGGUUGAAGGUUGGGUAACACUAACUGGAGGACCGAACCGACUAAUGUUGAAAAAUUAGCGGAUGACUUGUGGCUGGGGGUGAAAGGCCAAUCAAACCGGGAGAUAGCUGGUUCUCCCCGAAAGCUAUUUAGGUAGCGCCUCGUGAAUUCAUCUCCGGGGGUAGAGCACUGUUUCGGCAAGGGGGUCAUCCCGACUUACCAACCCGAUGCAAACUGCGAAUACCGGAGAAUGUUAUCACGGGAGACACACGGCGGGUGCUAACGUCCGUCGUGAAGAGGGAAACAACCCAGACCGCCAGCUAAGGUCCCAAAGUCAUGGUUAAGUGGGAAACGAUGUGGGAAGGCCCAGACAGCCAGGAUGUUGGCUUAGAAGCAGCCAUCAUUUAAAGAAAGCGUAAUAGCUCACUGGUCGAGUCGGCCUGCGCGGAAGAUGUAACGGGGCUAAACCAUGCACCGAAGCUGCGGCAGCGACACUAUGUGUUGUUGGGUAGGGGAGCGUUCUGUAAGCCUGUGAAGGUGGCCUGUGAGGGUUGCUGGAGGUAUCAGAAGUGCGAAUGCUGACAUAAGUAACGAUAAAGCGGGUGAAAAGCCCGCUCGCCGGAAGACCAAGGGUUCCUGUCCAACGUUAAUCGGGGCAGGGUGAGUCGACCCCUAAGGCGAGGCCGAAAGGCGUAGUCGAUGGGAAACAGGUUAAUAUUCCUGUACUUGGUGUUACUGCGAAGGGGGGACGGAGAAGGCUAUGUUGGCCGGGCGACGGUUGUCCCGGUUUAAGCGUGUAGGCUGGUUUUCCAGGCAAAUCCGGAAAACCAAGGCUGAGGCGUGAUGACGAGGCACUACGGUGCUGAAGCGACAAAUGCCCUGCUUCCAGGAAAAGCCUCUAAGCAUCAGGUAACAUCAAAUCGUACCC